GACGAACGCUGGCGGCGUGCUUAACACAUGCAAGUCGAGCGGUAAGGCCCUUUCGGGGGUACACGAGCGGCGAACGGGUGAGUAACACGUGGGUGACCUGCCUUUAGCUCUGGGAUAAGCCUGGGAAACCGGGUCUAAUACCGGAUAUGACUCCGCGGCGCAUGUUGUGGGGUGGAAAGCCUUGUGCGGCUGGAGAUGGGCCCGCGGCCUAUCAGCUUGUUGGUGGGGUGAUGGCCUACCAAGGCGACGACGGGUAGCCGGCCUGAGAGGGCGACCGGCCACACUGGGACUGAGACACGGCCCAGACUCCUACGGGAGGCAGCAGUGGGGAAUCUUGCGCAAUGGGCGAAAGCCUGACGCAGCGACGCCGCGUGAGGGAUGACGGCCUUGG
rnacentral:rRNA from 1 species